GAGAUCCCCCAUUCCCCUCACAGGGCUACAGUUCUCAGAGUUCCCCAUGCAAAGGGAUUGAUUGUUAAACUUAUCUGGAAAUUGUAGCUCUGUGGAGGGAAUAGGAGGCCU